UGAGAUGGUCGGGCGGUCGCGGUGUUCACAGCAGUGGACGUCGAGGAAAGUCCGGACUCCUCAGGGCAAGGUGGUGGGCAACACCCACCCGGGGUGACCCGCGGGAAAGUGCCACAGAAAACAGACCGCCUCCAACAUGUUGGAGGUAAGGGUGAAACGGUGGUGUAAGAGACCACCAGCACAUCGGGUGACCGAUGUGGCUCGGCAAACCCCACCUGGAGCAAGACCAAGACUGGGGUGGAUUUAGUUCCACCUCGCGCAGCAGGACGGCCCGUCUACAUGCUGCGGGUAGGUCGCAUGAGGCUGUCGGCAACGGCAGCCCUAGAGGGAUGAUCGCCACCCGUGAUGAGCGGGGACAGAAUCCGGCUUACAGACCAUCUCGUUCG
rnacentral:RNase_P_RNA from 1 species